CACGUAGUUAGCCGGUGCUUUUUCUGCAGGUACCGUCACUUUCGCUUCUUCCCUACUAAAAGAGGUUUACAACCUGAAGGCCGUCAUCCCUCACGCGGCGUUGCUGCAUCAGGCUUUCGCCCAUUGUGCAAUAUUCCCCACUGCUGCCUCCCGUAGGAGUCUGGGCCGUGUCUCAGUCCCAGUGUGGCCGGUCACCCUCUCAGGCCGGCUACCCGUCGUCGCCUUGGUGAGCCAUUACCUCACCAACAAGCUGAUAGGCCGCGAGUCCAUCCCCAACCAAAAAAUCUUUCCACCACCAGACCAUGCGGCCAGUGAUCAUAUCCAGUAUUAGACGUCGUUUCCAACGCUUAUCCCAGAGUCAGGGGCAGGUUACCUCACGUGUUACUCCACCCGUUCGCCACUACUCCCACCAGACAAGCGUGGCAUCAUCGUCGACUUGCAUGUAGUUAAGCACGCCGCACGCGUUCGUCGUGACGCGAGGACUACGAACUCU
rnacentral:rRNA from 1 species